rnacentral:rRNA from 1 species
AGGUUAAGCUGAAGAGGCGGAGCCGCAGCGAAAGCGAGUCUGAAUAGGGCGUUUAGUACGUGGUCGUAGACCCGAAACCAGGUGAUCUACCCAUGUCCAGGGUGAAGUUCAGGUAACACUGAAUGGAGGCCCGAACCCACGCACGUUGAAAAGUGCGGGGAUGAGGUGUGGGUAGCGGAGAAAUUCCAAUCGAACCUGGAGAUAGCUGGUUCUCCCCGAAAUAGCUUUAGGGCUAGCCUUAAGUGUAAGAGUCUUGGAGGUAGAGCACUGAUUGAACUAGGGGUCCUCAUCGGAUUACCGAAUUCAGUCAAACUCCGAAUGCCAAUGACUUAUCCUUAGGAGUCAGACUGCGAGUGAUAAGAUCCGUAGUCAAGAGGGAAACAGCCCAGAUCGCCAGCUAAGGUCCCAAAGUGUGUAUUAAGUGGAAAAGGAUGUGGAGUUGCUUAGACAACUAGGAUGUUGGCUUAGAAGCAGCCACCAUUUAAAGAGUGCGUAAUAGCUCACUAGUCGAGUGACUCUGCGCCGGAAAUGUACCGGGGCUAAAUACACCACCGAAGCUGCGAAUUGAUACCAAUGGUAUCAGUGGUAGGGGAGCGUUCUAAGUGCAGUGAAGUCAGACCGGAAGGACUGGUGGAGCGCUUAGAAGUGAGAAUGCCGGUAUGAGUAGCGAAAGACGGGUGAGAAUCCCGUCCACCGAAUGCCUAAGGUUUCCUGAGGAAGGCUCGUCCGCUCAGGGUUAGUCAGGACCUAAGCCGAGGCCGACAGGCGUAGGCGAUGGACAACAGGUUGAUAUUCCUGUACCACCUCUUUAUCGUUUGAGCAAUGGAGGGACGCAGAAGGAUAGAAGAAGCGUGCGAUUGGUUGUGCACGUCCAAGCAGUUAGGCUGAUAAGUAGGCAAAUCCGCUUAUCGUAAAGGCUGAGCUGUGAUGGGGAAGCUCCUUAUGGAGCGAAGUCUUUGAUUCCCCGCUGCCAAGAAAAGCUUCUAGCGAGAUAAAAGGUGCCUGUACCGCAAACCGACACAGGUAGGCGAGGAGAGAAUCCUAAGGUGUGCGAGAGAACUCUGGUUAAGGAACUCGGCAAAAUGACCCCGUAACUUCGGGAGAAGGGGUGCUUUCUUAACGGAAAGCCGCAGUGAAUAGGCCCAAGCGACUGUUUAGCAAAAACACAGCUCUCUGCGAAGCCGUAAGGCGAAGUAUAGGGGGUGACACCUGCCCGGUGCUGGAAGGUUAAGGAGAGGGGUUAGCGUAAGCGAAGCUCUGAACUGAAGCCCCAGUAAACGGCGGCCGUAACUAUAACGGUCCUAAGGUAGCGAAAUUCCUUGUCGGGUAAGUUCCGACCCGCACGAAAGGUGUAACGAUUUGGGCACUGUCUCAACCAGAGACUCGGUGAAAUUAUAGUACCUGUGAAGAUGCAGGUUACCCGCGACAGGACGGAAAGACCCCGUGGAGCUUUACUGUAGCCUGAUAUUGAAUUUUGGUACAGUUUGUACAGGAUAGGCGGGAGCCAUUGAAACCGGAGCGCUAGCUUCGGUGGAGGCGCUGGUGGGAUACCGCCCUGACUGUAUUGAAAUUCUAACCUACGGGUCUUAUCGACCCGGGAGACAGUGUCAGGUGGGCAGUUUGACUGGGGCGGUCGCCUCCUAAAGUGUAACGGAGGCGCCCAAAGGUUCCCUCAGAAUGGUUGGAAAUCAUUCGUAGAGUGCAAAGGCAUAAGGGAGCUUGACUGCGAGACCUACAAGUCGAGCAGGGACGAAAGUCGGGCUUAGUGAUCCGGUGGUUCCGCAUGGAAGGGCCAUCGCUCAACGGAUAAAAGCUACCCCGGGGAUAACAGGCUUAUCUCCCCCAAGAGUCCACAUCGACGGGGAGGUUUGGCACCUCGAUGUCGGCUCAUCGCAUCCUGGGGCUGUAGUCGGUCCCAAGGGUUGGGCUGUUCGCCCAUUAAAGCGGUACGCGAGCUGGGUUCAGAACGUCGUGAGACAGUUCGGUCCCUAUCCGUCGUGGGCGUAGGAAAUUUGAGAGGAGCUGUCCUUAGUACGAGAGGACCGGGAUGGACGCACCGCUGGUGUACCAGUUGUUCUGCCAAGGGCAUAGCUGGGUAGCUAUGUGCGGAAGGGAUAAGUGCUGAAAGCAUCUAAGCAUGAAGCCCCCCUCAAGAUGAGAUUUCCCAUAGCGUAAGCUAGUAAGAUCCCUGAAAGAUGAUCAGGUUGAUAGGUUCGAGGUGGAAGCAUGGUGACAUGUGGAGCUGACGAAUACUAAUAGAUCGAGGACUUAACCAU